GACGAACGCUGGCGGCGUGCUUAACACAUGCAAGUCGAACGGAAAGGCCCUGCUUUUGUGGGGUGCUCGAUUGGCGAACGGGUGAGUAACACGUGAGUAACCUGCCCUUGACUUUGGGAUAACUUCAGGAAACUGGGGCUAAUACCGGAUAGGAGCUCCUGCUGCAUGGUGGGGGUUGGAAAGUUUCGGCGGUUGGGGAUGGACUCGCGGCUUAUCAGCUUGUUGGUGGGGUAGUGGCUUACCAAGGCUUUGACGGGUAGCCGGCCUGAGAGGGUGACCGGCGACAUUGGGACUGAGAUACGGCCCAGACUCCUACGGGAGGCAGCAGUGGGGAAUAUUGCACAAUGGGCGGAAGCCUGAUGCAGCAACGCCGCGUGCGGGAUGACGGCCUUCGGGUUGUAAACCGCUUUCGCCUGUGACGAAGCGUGAGUGACGGUAAUGGGUAAAGAAGCACCGGCUAACUACGUG
rnacentral:rRNA from 1 species